UACGUAGGGUGCGAGCGUUGUCCGGAAUUAUUGGGCGUAAAGAGCUCGUAGGCGGUGUGUCACGUCGGCCAUGAAAACCUGCAGCUUAACUGUGGGCGUGCGGUCGAUACGGGCAUCACUGGAGUUCGGCAGGGGAGACUGGAAUUCCUGGUGUAGCGGUGAAAUGCGCAGAUAUCAGGAGGAACACCGGUGGCGAAGGCGGGUCUCUGGGCCGAUACUGACGCUGAGGAGCGAAAGCGUGGGGAGCAAACAGG
rnacentral:rRNA from 1 species